rnacentral:lncRNA from 10 species
GAGGGACAUGGGGACGCUGAGGCAGCGCACGCGGGCCACCAUCGGCCAAGGAUGAGACCAUUAGAACAUCUGCAAUGGGUUGAAACGCCUCGAAUGCAACACAGACACAGGAAGCAUCAACUCUGAGGCUUUGGCCAGGAUGUGAGCCCGACUUUCGCAGCCCCAACUGGCAGGCUGACCUCAUGUGAACUCCCUGGCGAUGGCAUCCUGGAGACACCCACAUGGCUGAGCUGGCACCAUAGGCACUCAUAAUCCAGGUUCAGUUUCUGCCAGCACUAAUUUGGUUUAUUCCACAUGGCUGGAGCCACUGCGGGACUCCAUUUGUUCCGGGGCCACCUUCCUGUCACCUUUUACUGUUUCUUGAGUCAGCAAGAAAGGCAGAUCCGACUGAAGACUCCAGCACUCUCCUCAGCUGCAGCCCCCACAGAGCUCCGCGAAGUCCUUUCUCCCACAGGACAGAUCUGAGGCACCCACCAUUAGAAGAAAGGAGUGGAGAAAUGAUAUGCAGGAAGAAGGCCCAUUCUGAUUCACCAAUCGCAUGGACGCACUUUCCUACCAGGCUAGGAGGGAGG